rnacentral:rRNA from 1 species
UACAGAGGUCCCAAGCGUUGUUCGGAUUCACUGGGCGUAAAGGGUGCGUAGGCGGUCGGGUAAGUCUGACGUGAAAUCUCCGGGCCUAACCCGGAAACUGCGUCGGAUACUAUCCGGCUAGAGGAUUGGAAGGGAGACUGGAAUACUUGGUGUAGCAGUGAAAUGCGUAGAUAUCAAGUGGAACACCAGUGGCGAAGGCGAGUCUCUGGACAAUUCCUGACGCUGAGGCACGAAAGCGUGGGGAGCGAACAGG